UACAGAGGUCUCAAGCGUUGUUCGGAUUCAUUGGGCGUAAAGGGUGCGUAGGUGGCGUCGUAAGUCAGGUGUGAAAUUUCGGAGCUUAACUUCGAAACUGCAUUUGAUACUGCGGUGCUUGAGGACUGGAGAGGAGACUGGAAUUUACGGUGUAACAGUGAAAUGCGUAGAGAUCGUAAGGAAGACCAGUGGCGAAGGCGGGUCUCUGGACAGUUCCUGACACUGAGGCACGAAGGCCAGGGGAGCAAACGGG
rnacentral:rRNA from 1 species